rnacentral:rRNA from 1 species
CUUAGUGGCGGACGGGUGAGUAACGCGUGGGGAACCUGCCCUGUACAGGGGGAUAACACUUAGAAAUAGGUGCUAAUACCGCAUAAGCGCACGGGGCUGCAUGGCCCAGUGUGAAAAACUCCGGUGGUAUAAGAUGGACCCGCGUCUGAUUAGCUUGUUGGCGGGGUAACGGCCCACCAAGGCGACGAUCAGUAGCCGGCCUGAGAGGGUGGACGGCCACAUUGGGACUGAGACACGGCCCAAACUCCUACGGAAGGCAGCAG